UGAAUUCUUGAAUGAUUUAGAGUACAUAUCAGAGAGAGAUUACAAUAGGGACUUAUCUGAUUCUUUAAUCCUCCCAUCUCUAGAGAAACUCCAAAUUCAUAAUUGCCCUAAUUUAAAAGGAUGGUGGCAACAACAGAGGGAUUCUAUUGAGAAGGUCAAUAAUCAUUCACUUCCUUCAUUUCCUCGUCUUUCCAACUUAUAUAUCUCGGUAUGCCUUAAGCUAACAUCCAUGCCUCUCUUUCCAUAUCUUGAAAAGCUAAAACUGGGUAUAUGUAGCUUGAAGCCAUUGGAGCAAACAAUGUCAAUGGAGGUGAUAAACAUGACAACCUCAAGAAAUCUAAUAUCAACCUUUUCUUCUUCUACCCUUGCCACUUCCUUGUUCAUCCCUCUCUCCAAAUUAAAGUCUAUGUCAAUUGAGUAUAUGGUAGGAACCCUACCCAAGGAGUUUAUGUGCAACCUCAUUUCUCUCCAAAGUUUAACGAUAAAAUAUUGUUGUGGUCCUCUCCCUCUCUCUCGACAUCUCACUGCCCUUCAGAAUUUGAGAAUUACUGGUCAUAAAGAGUUUGAUUUAACAAACGAUGAAGAUGAGAUGGAAUGGCAUGGUCUUCAGAGCCUUCGCCACCUAAUGUUCAACCAUCUUCCAAAUUUGGCCACUCUACCGAUGGGGAUUCAACAUCUCACCUCUUUGCAAACGCUUGAGAUUUACUAUUGUCAAAGUUUGAUGGCUAUACCGGAGUGGAUCUGUAACCUCACCUCUUUGCAGACACUAAAAAUUCUAAGUUGUCCCAUCUUAUUGGAAAGAUGCAAAAGGAGAGCGGGUAAAGAUUGGAGUAAGAUUGCUCACAUCCCAUACUUGUAUAUAUAGUCAGAUGAAGAACCUACUCCUAGGAUUUGGAGCUUAGUAAAACCUUUUGGGUGCUGUCAUUGGUCAACAAGUCAACAAACUCAGUGAGUAAAAUUGGGCACAAACCACAAAGUGAUAUCGGGGUAAUAUUGUGGGAAGAAUUAAAUUUGGCAACCAUUUUGCAAGAACUAGCUAGUCGUGCAGGAGCCCUAUCCUUCAGUCAGGGGAUUUAGCACAUGUCUGGAAGCUUCAUUCUAUAUAUAUAUAUAAACGAUUUUCUGGAAUUAGCCUGCAAGGUGAAAGUGAGG